UACGUAGGUGGCAAGCGUUGUCCGGAUUUAUUGGGUUUAAAGGGUGCGUAGGCGGCCUUGUAAGUCAGUGCUGAAAUAUCCCGGCUUAACCGGGAGGGUGGCAUUGAUACUACAGGGCUUGAGUAAAGUUGAGGUUGGCGGAAUUGACGGUGUAGCGGUGAAAUGCUUAGAUAUCGUCAAGAACACCGAUAGUGAAGACAGCUAACUAAGCUUUAACUGACGCUGAGGCACGAAAGUGUGGGGAUCAAACAGG
rnacentral:rRNA from 1 species